rnacentral:rRNA from 1 species
UAAAAACCCCGACUUCGGAAGGGGUGUAUUUAUUAGAUACAAAACCAAUGCCCUUCGGGGCUCUUUGGUGAUUCAUGAUAACUAUACGAAUCGCACGGCCUUGCGCCGGCGAUGGUUCAUUCAAAUUUCUUCCCUAUCAACUUUCGAUGUUUGGGUAUUGGCCAAACAUGGUUGCAACGGGUAACGGAGGGUUAGGGCUCGACCCCGGAGAAGGAGCCUGAGAAACGGCUACUACAUCCAAGGAAGGCAGCAGGCGCGCAAAUUACCCAAUCCCGACUCGGGGAGGUAGUGACAAUAAAUACUGAUACAGGGCCCUUUCGGGCCUUGUAAUUGGAAUGAGUACAAUUUAAAUCCCUUAACGAGGAACAAUUGGAGGGCAAGUCUGGUGCCAGCAGCCGCGGUAAUUCCAGCUCCAAUAGCGUAUAUUAAAGUUGUUGUGGUUAAAAAGCUCGUAGUUGAACCUUGGGCCUGGCUGGCCGGUCCGCCUCACCGCGUGCACUGGUCCGGCCGGGCCUUUCCCUCUGUGGAACCCCAUACCCUUCACUGGGCGUGGCGGGGAAACGGGACAUUUACUUU